rnacentral:lncRNA from 10 species
GUUUUCAUGGAAUUUGGGGUCUAGUAGGGGAAAUAGAUAUUAACCCAAUAAUCACUCAAUUUGAGUCAAUUCUAGAAAGAAAGUGUAUACAAAGUUAUGAGACCAUCAAGAAGGAAUAUGAGUAAGUUUAGAGGGUCUGGAAUGACUUCCCUGAAGAAAUGAUGCCACUUGACUCUGAGACAGGAGGGGGCAAGGAAGUGCUGGGUAGAGAAGGGUGGGUCCCUGGCUAGGGCUCCACCUCCGGGCCUGUGCCCACCCACCGAGGUGAGGACAGGCAUUUGUUUUUGUGCCCAAAUGUUGCAUUUUCCAAGACCACCCUGGCCCACCAUGUCCCCAUCCUGUGCCUAUAAAAACCUCGAGACCCUAGUGGGCACAGACAGAAGUGGCUGGACGUCGAGAGGAUCACACCACUGGAAGAACACACGAGCUGCUAGAUGUCGAGAGGAGCAUGCUGGCAGGAGAACACACCGACAAACACCAGCAGAUGCUGGCAUGCCAUCCACCGGUGGAACGACGUGGACGCCGAGGGGAAUUUGGUGCUGGGCAGCCUGACUCCAGGGGAAAACCAGCUUCCCACUCCUUCCCUCUUCUGGCUCCCCAUUCAUCUGCUGAGAGCUACCACCACUCAACAAAAAACCUUGCACCCAUCCUCCAAGCCCACACGUGAUCCAAUUUUUCCAGUACACUAAGACAAGAACCCCAGGAUACUGAAAGCCUUCUGUCCUUGAGAUAAGGCAGAGGAUCUAAUUGAGCUCAUUAACACAAGCCACCUGUGGAUGGCUAAACUGAAAGAAUGCACUGCAACACAUGCACACUGGGGCCUCAAGAGCUGUAAACACUGAACCCUAGACACUGCUGUGGGGUCAGAGCCCCACAACCUGCCCGUCUGCAUGCUCCUCCUAGGGUAUGAGCAGCAGGGUACCAAAGAAGUGAGCCCUGGGAGGGGGAUAAGGGAACUUUUCCCAUUUCAAUUUGAUAUGUGAAGAAUCAAUACCAUUUCAAGGCAGUUAUUAUUAUCAGUUCAUAGGUGAAGAAACUGAGGUUCAGAAUCUUCCCCAAAUAACAAAAUUAGUAAAGGGUCUACCUGUGAUUUGAAAUCAGAUCUAGUUGAAUUAAAAACUCAGACUUUUCCUUCAUUUAUAACAAAAAGUGCCAACGAAGAAAAAUCUCUCACACAAAUCUUGGAAGGGAAACAUUCAGCAACAUAACUGCCUAUGGUCCCACUUACAGUUUUCACCACAAAUGCGGAAAUGUUCUUUUUUCUUCUUCUUCUCGUGGUCAUGUUUUAUAGCACUUAACAACAGUUGCAGUUGAUAAGUUAAGCCAAGGUCUCAGGACAGGGUCUUGCUCAAGGUGUCGGAAUCCCACUAAUGCUGUGUUCCAGCUACGAUUUUAAUCAAAGGUGCGCUCCCUGAGAAAGUCCCGGAGGGUUCACUACCAAGGACAAAGUGAGGAGGGGGAGGGUUUGGGUGGUUUCUUUAAAUUAUUGUUAUUAACUAGAGUCCUUACUUUAUUCAGAUUUCCUUAGUUUUUACCUAAUGUCUUUUUUCUGCUCCAGAAUUCUAUUCAGGACACCACAUUACAUUUAAUUGUGAUGUUUCCUUAGGCUUCUUUGGCUAUGACAGUUUCUCAAACUAAACUUUUUUUGAUGACCGUGACAACUUUGUGGAGAAUUGAUGAGCAAGAAGGCCCGUGCUAGAUGCUGGCACUUUGAUGUUGGACUUCCCAGCAUCCAGAACUCUGCAAGGUCACAAGACAGAUAAGCAUAAGCUGCAAACCAAGUUCUCACAGAGAUGUAAGACAUGUUCCAAAAGUGUCACAGCGGCCUUUUGUUCUCACUUCUGUAAGCCUGCUUCACUUAGUUCCUGCCUCAAAAUGCUUAAAAGGGACUCAUUUUCUUUGUUCUUGGGCUCAGCCUUUUAGGACACAAGUCCGCUGGGCCAGUGUACACCUUAAAAUAAACACC